rnacentral:rRNA from 1 species
UACGGGGGGGAGCAAGCGUUGUUCGGAUUUACUGGGCGUAAAGGGCGCGUAGGCGGUCGUGACAAGUCACUUGUGAAAUCUCCGGGCUUAACUCGGAACGGUCAAGUGAUACUGUCGGACUAGAGUACAGAAGGGGCAACUGGAAUUCCCAGUGUAGCGGUGAAAUGCGUAGAUAUUGGGAGGAACACCAGUGGCGAAGGCGGCUCGCUGGACCGGUUCUGACGCUGAGGCGCGAAAGCGUGGGGAGCAAACGGGG